GUUGAAAAAAAAUAAAAAAUAAAUGCUGAAUGCACUAAUUUUUUUCCCUACAGGGUUGAAAAGUAAUGGGGGUCAGUAUAGGAAUUCAGUGCGAAUCUACAUUGUUUGUAAACAAGGCCAUGUGAAUGCCCAAAAAUGCCGCAUGACCCUAUGUUUUUAUUGUUGCAAAAGAUAGGGCUACAUUUGUACUUUCAUGAAUGAUAUAUGAAAGUUUUUAAUUUCUAAAGGUAAAUCAGGUAUAAAUUUAUUUCCAAACAUAGAUUAGCAUUAAAGUCAAUGGGAGAUUUUUUACUGAAUUUACCCCUAUAGGAAAAUAUGCACUUUUUCACUGUACUUGUCCAAGGCCACACAACAAUCACAAAACUCAUUUCCUGUAAAUGUAAAUGUAAUGGA
rnacentral:lncRNA from 1 species